rnacentral:rRNA from 1 species
GACGAACGCUGGCGGCGUGCCUAAAACAUGCAAGUUGAGCGCUGAAGGUUGGUACUUGUACCAACUGGAUGAGCAGCGAACGGGUGAGUAACGCGUGGGGAAUCUGCCUUUGAGCGGGGGACAACAUUUGGAAACGAAUGCUAAUACCGCAUAAAAACUUUAAACACAAGUUUUAAGUUUGAAAGAUGCAAUUGCAUCACUCAAAGAUGAUCCCGCGUUGUAUUAGCUAGUUGGUGAGGUAAAGGCUCACCAAGGCGAUGAUACAUAGCCGACCUGAGAGGGUGAUCGGCCACAUUGGGACUGAGACACGGCCCAAACUCCUACGGGAGGCAGCAGUAGGGAAUCUUCGGCAAUGGACGAAAGUCUGACCGAGCAACGCCGCGUGAGUGAAGAAGGUUUUCGGAUCGUAAAACUCUGUUGGUAGAGAAGAACGUUGGUGAGAGUGGAAAGCUCAUCAAGUGACGGUAACUACCCAGAAAGGGACGGCUAACUACGUG